AUUGAACGCUGGCGGCAGGCCUAACACAUGCAAGUCGAGCGGGGUUUUCGGACCUAGCGGCGGACGGGUGAGUAAUGCGUAGGAAGCUACCCGAUAGAGGGGGAUACCAGUUGGAAACGACUGUUAAUACCGCAUAAUGUCUACGGACCAAAGUGUGGGACCUUCGGGCCACAUGCUAUCGGAUGCGCCUACGUGGGAUUAGCUAAUUGGUGGGGUAAUGGCUCACCAAGGCGACGAUCCCUAGCUGGUUUGAGAGGAUCAUCAGCCACACUGGAACUGAGACACGGUCCAGACUCCUACGGGAGGCAGCAGUGGGGAAUAUUGGACAAUGGGCGCAAGCCUGAUCCAGCCAUGCCGCGUGUGUGAAGAAGGCCUUCGGGUUGUAAAGCACUUUCAGUAGGGAGGAAGAGUUGAGUGUUAAUAGUACUCAGCUUUGACGUUACCUACAGAAGAAGCACCGGCUAACUCUGUGCCAGCAGCCGCAGUAAGAC
rnacentral:rRNA from 1 species